UACGAAGGGGGCUAGCGUUGUUCGGAAUUACUGGGCGUAAAGCGUGCGCAGGCGGUUUCUCGAGUCAGGGGUGAAAGCCCAGAGCUCAACUCUGGAAUUGCCUUUGAGACUGAGUGGCUUGAGUACGAGAGAGGUGAGUGGAAUUCCCAGUGUAGAGGUGAAAUUCGUAGAUAUUGGGAAGAACACCGGUGGCGAAGGCGGCUCACUGGCUCGUACCUGACGCUCAUGCACGACAGCGUGGGGAUCAAACAGG
rnacentral:rRNA from 1 species